GAUGAACGCUGGCGGCGUGCCUAAUACAUGCAAGUCGAGCGGUAAGGCCUCUUCGGAGGUACACGAGCGGCGGACGGCUGAGUAACGCGUAGGAACGUACCCCAAAGUGAGGGAUAAGCACCAGAAAUGGUGUCUAAUACCGCAUGUGGCCCACGGGCUAAAGCUUCGGCGCUUUGGGAACGGCCUGCGUAAGAUUAGCUAGUUGGUGAGGUAAUGGCUCACCAAGGCGACGAUCUUUAGCUGGUCUGAGAGGAUGAUCAGCCAGACUGGGACUGAGACACGGCCCAGACUCCUACGGGAGGCAGCAGUAGGGAAUUCUCCACAAUGGGCGAAAGCCUGAUGGAGCAACGCCGCGUGCAGGAUGAAUGCCUUCGGGUUGUAAACUGCUUUUAUAUGCGACGAAUAUGACGGUAGCAUAUGAAUAAGGAUCGGCUAACUCCGUGCCAGCCGCCGCAGUAA
rnacentral:rRNA from 1 species